ACAGGGAUUUGAUAAAGAGGCUGGUCGAAGGGUGCAUUCUGUCCGAGGUCGUCCAGAGGAUCGUCCUUGCUGAUCCCGAGCUGCGGGUCUGGGACUCUUUGGGAUCUUUCCUCAAAGUAAGUUAGUUCACUUUUUUCUCCUUCUUGCUUCUUUACUGAACUUAUUCCUUAGCCUUUAUAUUGACUCCCCGGCCUCUCUUGC
rnacentral:lncRNA from 1 species